rnacentral:rRNA from 1 species
GACGAACCGUCCGAACGUUAUUCGGUAUCACUGGGCUUAAAGCGUGCGUAGGCGGCCUGGUAGGUGAGAUGUGAAAGCCCACGGCUCAACCGUGGAAUUGCGUUUCAAACCACCAGGCUGGAGGAUGGCAGGGGUGAUGGGAACUGAUGGUGGAGCGGUGAAAUGCGUUGAUAUCAUCAGGAACACCGGUGGCGAAGGCGCAUCACUGGGCCAUUUCUGACGCUGAGGCACGAAAGCUAGGGUAGCGAACGGGGAUUAGAUACCCCGGUA